rnacentral:lncRNA from 1 species
GUUUGAAGCCACUCAGUUUGUGGAGCUUUGUCACGGCAAAUCCAGAAACAAACACACCGGCUUUCUCAGAGCUUCCUGGUGGCCAGCGCCCUGUGCCUCUGAUGGUAUGGGAUGAAAAGUGCCCCAAUUCCAGGAGCAGUGGGAGAGGGUAUCUGGCCACUCUGUGGGCUGCAAUUGGCAUUGGUGACAAAGGCUGGCUGAGUCGCUGUUGGCAGGUGGACCACCGACCCCACUGCCUGAGCUUGGUGAGUAAGACGUCUUUCACCG